AUUGAACGCUGGCGGCAGGCCUAACACAUGCAAGUCGAACGAGUGGCGGACGGGUGAGUAAUGUCUGGGAAACUGCCUGAUGGAGGGGGAUAACUACUGGAAACGGUAGCUAAUACCGCAUACCAUCGGAUGUGCCCCGAUGGGAUUAGCUAGUAGGUGGGGUAACGGCUCACCUAGGCGACGAUACCUAGCUGGUCUGAGAGGAUGACCAGCCACACUGGAACUGAGACAAGGGCCAGACUCCUACGGGAGGCAGCAGUGGGGAAUAUUGCACAAUGGGCGCAAGCCUGAUGCAGCCAUGCCGCGUGUAUGAAGAAGGCCUUAGGGUUGUAAAGUACUUUCAGCGGGGAGGCGUUACCCGCAGAAGAAGCACAGGCUAAAUCCGUGCCAGCAGCCGCGGUAAUA
rnacentral:rRNA from 1 species